rnacentral:rRNA from 1 species
GGAUUAGUAGGUUGGUCGUGCCACCGGUACGUACUGGUCUCACUGAUUCCUCCUUCCUGAAGAACCGUAAUGCCAUUAAUUUGGUGUUGCGGGGAAACAGGACUGUUACUUUGAAAAAAUUAGAGUGUUUAAAGCAAGCUAACGCUUGAAUACAUUAGCAUGGAAUAAUGAAAUAGGACGAUCGAUCCUGUUUUGUUGGUUUCUAGGAUUGACGUA